GGCGGACGGGUGAGUAACGCGUAGGAAUCUACCUAGUAGUGGGGGAUAACGUUUCGAAAGGAACGCUAAUACCGCAUACGCCCUAAGGGGGAAAGCGGGGGACCUUCGGGCCUCGUGCUAUUAGAUGAGCCUGCGUAGGAUUAGCUAGUUGGUAGGGUAAAGGCCUACCAAGGCGACGAUCCUUAACUGGUCUGAGAGGAUGAUCAGUCACACUGGAACUGAGACACGGUCCAGACUCCCACGGGAGGCAGCAGUGGGGAAUAUUGGACAAUGGGGGCAACCCUGAUCCAGCCAUGCCGCGUGUGUGAAGAAGGCCUUCGGGUUGUAAAGCACUUUCGGUCAGAAAGAAGGGGGCGUAGUUAAUAACUGCGUUUCUUGACGGUACUGACAUAAGAAGCACCGGCUAACUCCGUGCCAGCAGCCGCGGUAAUACGGAGGGUGCAAGCGUUAAUCGGAAUUACUGGGCGUAAAGCGCGCGUAGGCGGUUUGUUAAGUCGGAUGUGAAAGCCCUGGGCUCAACCUGGGAACUGCAUACGAUACUGGCAAGCUAGAGUGCAAUAGAGGGGGGUAGAAUUCCAGGUGUAGCGGUGAAAUGCGUAGAUAUCUGGAGGAAUACCGGUGGCGAAGGCGGCCCCCUGGAUUGACACUGACGCUGAGGUGCGAAAGCGUGGGUAGCAAACAGGAUUAGAUACCCUGGUAGUCCACGCCGUAAACGAUGUCAACUAGCUGUUGGGACUCUUGUAGUUCUGGUAGCGCAGCUAACGCACUAAGUUGACCGCCUGGGGAGUACGGCCGCAAGGUUAAAACUCAAAUGAAUUGACGGGGGCCCGCACAAGCGGUGGAGCAUGUGGUUUAAUUCGACGCAACGCGAAAAACCUUACCUACUCUUGACA
rnacentral:rRNA from 1 species